CCUCCCUCCGUUUCUCCCUCCCGCCCUCCGCGCCUGUGAGAAGGGAAGGCGAAAGGAGGCGCGCUCUGGGAUUGGCGCCAAACUCGAUCCGUAAAACACCAGGCCGGCCCCCUCCCGAUCCCCUCACAGGCCUGAUUAUUGCGCCCAGGCCUCUCAACAACUAGGGUGAUAAAUCUCCCUCCACUGAAGCUUUCUCCCCAAUCCCUGUUUUCACAACGAACAAGCCCAUUUUAUAGGGUUGUUGCAUGUCUUUCGGGCUGUGUGGCCAUGUUCCAGAAGUAUUCUCUCCUGACGUUUCGUCCACAUCUAUGGCAAGCAUCCUCAGAGGUUGUGAGAAAGAACUUAUGAAUCAAAUGGCUGAGGGAGGACAUGGAUCCUUGCUGGGAAAAUUCAGCCAGUGGAAGAAUAAACACUGAAAAUGAAUAUGACUAGUUAAGUAUCUCAUUUACAAAUACAGUAUUUCUCCACAUGCUACUAAUAAUACUUUCUUCAAAUGGCACCACUUUAAGGCACUUGUAUGAAUAAUCCAGGACUAGAAUCUAAUUUCUCAGCUGCUAUUUGUUUGCCAGUGUCUCCCUUCUCAUAUUUCAUGAAGCUGCUCCUUUACAGUAAGAACUUAGUAAUACACUUGCAUUUACCACUCUUUUUUCUUUGAUUUGUUUGAUCUGGCAUGUGGAGAAACUAUACUUAAUUUGUGUAACUGCGUAUGUUUAGUUUAUAUAAAUGUAACGUGGGUUUCCUCCCUCCCCUUGGAGCAGAAGUCCUUCAUUUCAACAAAGUUCACUAUCACCUGCAGUUUUGCAUAUUCACACAAAGUCAAGGAACAUAUCCUCAACAGAUACAGGAGCUGUACUGUAUUAUGAAUUUAGACAAGCCACAAAACAUGGGCUCCCUUUAUAGCAUAUGCUUCAAAUGAUAAGUAAAUAAGAAAUCAUAUACUGUAAGUACCUGCUCACAUAUGAUCAGAGCAAUUAUUCACUAAUUCGUGGCAGGAGUGUGGAGCUAAGAAAACCCAUGCGGAAGAAAGUAUACAUUUCUUCUUGUGCUUUCUGAAUAGAUUCCCAAUUCCUGGGGAACCUACCUAAGGUUUACUCUAGGUUAAAGAUUUCUCAAGUUGAAUAUUGCCAUUGCCUUUCCUUUUAUUCUUAAAUAGUGUGGCUUAUCCAAGACCAACCAGUAGUUUUCCGUGGUUGUGGGGGACUCAGGUCUGAUUUCCAAAAAUCCUGAUCCAGCACUUAGACCACUGCACAUGCUGGCUUUCAGAACAUAAAUACCAGAAGUCCGAUGUGUCUAAUAUUAUUUAAUAGCAUUAUUUCUCCAUUACCAAGCACACAGUUUUUGGUAUGGUACUAAUCUACUUUUACUUUAGCAAUAAACCCGUAUUUCUAUAACAUUUUUGAUGAAAUGGGACCUAAUCUUUUCUGAUACUUGAUUCCCCUAGUUUUUUUUCUCAGACAUUACAACAUUCAGUGGCAGUUUGUUCCAUAGACCUUAUGGCCAGUAUGAACAUACAGUAUUACACACUGUUUGAACAAAGAGUAUUUGUUCUUAGAAUGGUUUAACUAAAAGUGCUACUUUUAACAGUGAAUGUAAGGUAUUUGAUUUUAUAACAUUGUUUUAAUAAAUAUUUUAUCAGAAGAAGCAGACAGUAGCAUAUAUAUUUUGCAUGAGAUGGUUAGCACUGAGAUAAAACAUGAACUACACUUUCGGAUCACAUACCUUCUACAAAUCAUAAUGUUUGCACAUCUGAAAAUUGCCUAGUUCAGUCCUAUCUAUGUCUAUUUAGAGUUCCAGAGAACUUAAUCAUAAGUAAAUAGCACAUAUGCUGCCUGAAAUAUCUGCUCCACAAAAGUAACAUCAGUAUUAAAAUAUAUGAGCAUAAUACAUACAAUUGGAGCCCCUGACGGCUCAGCGAGUUAAACUGCUGAGCUGCUGAACUUGCAGACCAAAAGGUUGGCAGUUCAAAUCCGGGAAGGGGGGUGAGCUCCCGCUGUUAGCCCCAGUUUCUGUCAACCUGGCAGUUCGUAAACAUGCAAAUGUGAGUAGAUCAAUAGGUACCACUCUGGUGGGAAGGUAAUGGCACUCCAUGCAGUCAUGCCAGCCACAUGACCUUGGAGGUGUCUACGGACAACGCCGGCUCUUCGGCUUAGAAAUGGAGAUGAGCACCAACCCCCAGAGUCGGACACGACUAAAUGUCAGAGGAAAAUCUUUACUUCCUUAAUACAUACUAUUCCAAAUUAAAAUAUUUUACUCAGUUUUGAAGAUCUGUCAUUUUUGCUAUUCUUGUAACAAGAAUCUGUCUUGCCCAAAACAAUAUAAAUCUUGAUUUAAUACCAAUCUGGGCUGAAAUUAUUUAUCAUAGUCUCCCAACUGACAGGUAGCUAACAUCUAAGAUUGUAGUCAUGUACAUGUCUACUCAGGAAUGAAUCCUGCUUAAUUUAGUGGAUCUUACUUCCAAGGAAGUUGACAAAAUUGUAAGUCUAGCCUAUCUGCAUGCAAACAAAAGACUUUUAACAAGUAUAAAAAUAAUGGCAGCACUAUCCUUGUUGAGGCACCUGAUCUUUGACUCAAUUCUACUGAACGUCUUGGGUGUUUUCUACCUUUAUGGGCUUUGUGAGUUAUUUCCAAGAACUGUGUGUGCUACAGCUGCAUACUACACAAAAUGGCAUCCUGCCUCUUUUCAUAGGAUUGAUUCCACAUGCAGCAUUUUGUUUUUACUGGGUUCAUAGGAAAUCUCAUUGCUCUACCUUUCCAAUGCAAAUGGUAGUUAACACAUUCAGUUACAAGGCUCAAACUGAUCCUUAUUUCAUUAUAUACUUGUUUACUUUAAAAUGUUUGUGAAUGCAGUUGUAACCAUCCAAAACUCACUUCACUGAGAGGCUUGGUUACUUCCCACCCCAUCUAUCUGUCUGGAUUGACACAACACAUUUUGAAUCCAACCUAGACCAACAUAGUCUCCCUGCCUGCUCCAGCAAUGUGCCUGAUCUUGACACUAUACAAGAAUUAUCUUAGUUUUUCGUCCUCAAAUUGAUUUUCUUCAGUUUGAUGGCAGCAACAACUGGGGAGAGCUGCUGAGGUCUGCAGGGAAAAGUUUUUAUUUACAUUUGUCAAUAAAUUAGCUGCAUUUAGUUUGUCAAUACAUUUAUCUCUCUGUCUCUUGUCAACACUAUUUGUCUUUCUUUAAAUUACAAAGCUGGUUAUUGUGAAGUAGAGGAAAGAGAGACAAACGAUUUCCCACUGGGAAUUGCCAUUGUGAUUGUGAUUAAAGUGUCCUUUUUGUCAAUUUAAACAAAACAAUUCCACCUUAGCACUUUUGGUCUUCACUCUUUACCCAUCGACGGAGUCACGAAGAGAGAAGGUCAAUGGCAUCAACCUUGUAAUGCCAUUUAAGAUAGUCUCUUCAAGAUAACAUAUUUAAUUCAUAUUAUUAUCUUCCGGAAACCUCCCAUAUUAUUUUAAAUGUUUAUAUUUGAGAAACAUGAUUUGUGUUUGUGUGUGUGACUUCAAGUCACCUAUUAACUUAUGGCAACCCCGUGAAUUUUAUAUGGUUUUCUUAUGCAGGUUCUACUAGUGAUUUUACCAGUUCCUUCCUAUGAAAUAUUGCCUAGAGAACUUGUUAUUUGUUGGCAAUCUUCAACAAUUAACUACGGUUGACGGCACUUAGCUUCCAAGAUCAUAUAUGAUCUGAUGUCUUUAGGGUAUCUAUAUGCACGUAAAUAUGCACAAUGAUACGAAUCCUAUCUGUUUGCUGACUUUUGAAUCAACAUAGCUGCAUAAAGCAUAUCAGUAAGGGCUAAGUGGUUUUCAUGAAAAAGCAGCAACUUGUUAGCUAUAUACCGUAAGUGUUUAUUUUACUGGUAUAGAUAGAAAGAAGAUUCCUCCAAGGACAAGCUGCAAUCAAUCCCUCUUCCCAUAAGUUGAAGCAUAUAGUGCAGUAUAUGUGCCCAAAGUUCGGGAUAUAUUUAUGGCAUCAGCAUUAAUUCAGAUGGUUUCAUUGAAUCCUGUGUUUUUCACCUCUCACGGCUAGCUAUGCUUGGAGAAAAACAGUAUUAUUACAAUACAUUCUCCUGCCUUCCAAACAACACCUGUUUACAUUGCUGAAGAGAACUUGUGUGCCUACACUUACAUGUGCAAUAAAUUCCCCAUCACAUGAAGAAAUAAAUAUGCUUACAAAUGAACAUGCAUCCAAAUGAAAAUGUCCUGGUUGCUUCCCUAUGACUGUGAUCAUCUGUGAACUACACAAACCUUGCCCGCUUACUAUCUCAUUGAUCUGCUUUAUUGCAUUAAAAGUCAUAGCUGAAGGGUAAGCAACUGUCACUUCCUCUGCCCAAAAGCAAUAGCUGUUUACAUUUCUGAAGCACCUACAUUUACAAGUGCAAGAAAUUUCCCAUCACAUGAAUGUGAUGGGAAAUUUAUAAAUGAGCAUGUAUAGGUCUUUAAAAGGGUAAAUUCUCCAUAAAUUCUGGUCUUUGUAACUUCCAGCAGUGUGUAAUGCUAUUUUUUAUUCAGCUUAUUCCUGUUUAUUCCCGUCUUAAAAAUGCAAUCCAUUAAAUUGUUUUUUAAAACUAAAAAGGUAAUAGCCUGUGUGAGUCAGAACCAUUAUAAAUCAACAACAAUGCAUCGGGCUAUUAUUCUUGACCUUUUUGUUAAUUGUACAUAUUCUGCUAAUCUUUCACCAGUUUCACAAAUUUGGAAGAAGCACAAUAUCUUUGGCACAAUGAAACAUUUUUAAGCAACAGCAAGAGCAACCCAGUUCUGAAGCAGGAAGCUUUUAAAAGGUAAUGAAGGUAUUCAAUAUGAGUUUGAAGGUGAGAUAAGUACAUACAAUAGGCUCUUCAUCAGCAGUGGCUGUUGGUUCUAAUAUCAGCAGGGCAGUGCUUAUGCUAGUUUUGAGAGUGCUGUCCUGGGUUCUGAAAGUGUUAAGGAUAAAGGUUGAGUAGUACCAUGAAUUGCACAUUUCAUGUUUAGAUUAAAACUUGGAAGUGGUUCACUACCUUCAUUGACAUGGAAACUGCAACCACCCACCAUUCCCACUGCAAAUGAACAAUGACAACUUUUCUGUGGUUUGCUACACUGUUUUCCACAGUGUAUGGUAAACAUCAAAAUGUUUAAAUAGAAGAAACCUUGCCAUUAUAGAAGUGUUUUUUUCAGGAUUUAUUCUAUAGAAGGGAUACUGCUCCAAGGCUGUUUUUUUUUUUUUUUUAACACAAACUCACACAAUUAUGAUUACAAAUUGAGAGUGGAAAUGCAUAGUACUUCUGCACUCAGGACUGUAUUUGAUGUUUUCUGACAUAUGGGGAACAAAAUUAUUUAUAGGUGAGAGGGCUGUAACAUAAACUUUUACCUUCUCUUUUAACAGACUUAGUGGUUUCUGAAGAACUAGAUCCAGAGUUACUCCAGUUUCUGCCUACUAUAUGUAUUGCGAGUAAGAUGGUCCAUGUUUCUGACUGUUACACAGGCACCUCUUUCACAGGUGGCAGGAAAAACAUGCAAUGUUCCAGGUGUGCAACUUGAAUCCAUCCUGAUUUUUGCUUAUCCAUAGCAGUUGUACAAGUACUUUUGUUGUGCUUUUCCUGCAUGACAGGGAGUUGGAAUAAAUGGCCCUUGCGGUCUUUUAUAUGAUUCUAUGAUUCUUCCUAAUAAAUCGGGAUGCCCCUUCCCAUCUGGACAAUACAAUAGAUUUUCUUAUUCCUGAUCCAAAAAGAUAGGUAGUACUCCAGGCAUAUCCUCACACUUUUCAGUGAUACUUGCAUUUUUUCAGAGUGGCAUAAGCAAAAGACAAAACUGUAUAGAGCUAGUGGGUAAAGGAGAAGGUUUUACCCUGACAUUAAGUCCAGUCGUGUUCGACUCUGGAGGUUGGAGCUCAUCUCCAUUUCUAAGUCGAAGAGACGGUAUUGUCCAUAGACACCUCCAGGAUCAUGUGGCCAGCAUGAUUGUAUGGAUCACCAUUACCUUCCCGCCGUGAUCUACUUGUUUUUGACCUGCUAGGUUGGCAGAAGCUGGAGCUAACAGCAGGAGCUCACACCACUCCCCAAAUUCGAACUGCUGACCUUUUGGUCAGGAAGUUCAGCAGGUUAGCGGUUUAAUCCGCUGCAUCAUUGGGGACUCACUGGACUGGAUGCUUAUUGCUCUUAGGUCUAAUUUCAAGUUGUCUUCAUUCUGUUGGAAUGCCAUAGAUGAAGAACAACCUCUUUUUAAUUGAACAUGGCAGGGCAACAAAACUAAGAUUGAUUUUUCUUUGGUGAUUCAAAAAUCCAUGUCUACUGGAGAUGCUUAGUCAUGUGGAGAAGAAGAAAAUUUGCCUCCUUCAAUAUCCUUUUUCAGACUUCCCUCAAGAAUGAGAAGCCUGUCUUCUCAUUUUUCAGUUCCAGCUUCACAUCUCUCAGCAUUCACCAGCCUUUCAACUCACUGUUUAAGGAACUGAUCAUUUUUGAGAAAACUACACUCACAGAAGUUCAUUCUGCCAGCCUGCUGUGCUGUGUCCUUCAUGGGUCCUUGAGAUUUCCUGGUGAGAUGUUUGACAAUAAUCCAAAGGAGCAGUACUCUUUGUUACAUGUAUUAGUGUAAGAUACACCCCCAAAGAACCGCUUAGUGCUUCUUAAUAGCAGUAUUGUUGGUCAAUGGCCUUGCCCUGCUCACAGAAACAAUGACAGGCAUCCAGAGUUCUGCCUGAAAUACCCUUAGCAAAUAUUAACUUUCUCUUUCUCUCUCAAGCUCUGUGACUAAAGUCUUCACUUACAUCUGAAUGUGAAUGGUUUGUAUAAAUUUUCCAGACUCCAGAUGGACACUGCUGUGAUCAAGUCGAAGCCAGAUUCCAAAGCUCUCCAGCUGUGGCUGUGAAGAUUUAAAGGAAGGGAAAAAGAGUGAACGGUUAAAAAAAAAAAAAAAACAAACAAACUUCCUACCCUUGACAAAAAUGCCUGAUAUACCUGAAAGUUGUCAUGGUAUAUCAAAAAAGAAAUUAGGUAAUGUUUACCUGAAGAAUGAAUGCAGUACGAUCCAUAGCUGAUUUCUUCCUCCAUUACUGUAACGGUGAACUAACACACAUGUCAACGAUUCACUCAGCAAUCUGAGUCUAUAUUGCCCUUAUUUUUUUUAGUAGUACUCGGACCAUUUGUAAGAUUUAAAAAUACUGCAUUUUCUCAUCAAGGAUUUAGGUAUUAUAACUUUUGUGGAAGUAGCUUCAUUCUGCUCAACUGUUUUGGCAAUGUUGACAACAGAGAUCUUUUAUUGUGACUGCUUGUAUUAAGUGGGAGAGAAACUUUAUAGCCAGUAUGAGCAAACCUUCAGCUCUCCAGGUGUUUUGGACUUCAACUAGCACAAUUCCUAACAGCCGGUAAGCUGGCUGUGAUUUUUUGGAGUUAAAGUCUAAAUUACCCAAAGGAUCAAAGUUUGCCCAUGUCUGAUUUAUAGAGUCAAUGGCCUAAAUGUCUUUGGACAAAUGGGUUCAAAUUUCUCCUCAACCAUUAAGUUCCCCAAGCAAAUUAUGCUGUAGACACCAUCAGUCAACUUCAGUUGCCCACAAAGUUGCUAUGUGACUAAAAUGGAAAGAGAAAAAAUCAUUUGAACUCCUUUUAGGAAAGAUGAAUUAAAAGUGGUACUAAUGAGUUUAAUGAUUAAAUUAAAUUAAAUUUGCCGGCAUAGCUUAAUAUGUCUUCUUCCAGAAUAAGAGUGUGCCAACUAAAAUGCUCUCCUUUAAACAGAUUGGAGGCACAAGUAUACUGUUUUAUAUUACCAUAUUGCUAUAUUAAUAAGCAUAUUGUAGGCAAUUGCAUUUAUGUAUAUGUUUAUGCACAUAUAUUUUGUAUACCCACAUUGGUUAAAAGGACAGCCAGCUUUAUGCUCCUCCUUUAUAUAAUAUAAGUAAGUAUCUGACUUCAUAUCCCUGAAUAACAUACUUCCCUCAGGGUGUGGGGAGUUGUAGAACCAGUGUGGUGUUGGGGUUUGAGGAUUUGACUACAGCUCUGGAGACCAGGGUUCAAUUCCUUGCUCAGCUAUGGAGACCCACUGGGUAACCUAGGAUGAGUCACAGAAAACCUAUGACGGUGUCACCAUAAGUUAGAAAUGACCUGAAGACAUAUGAUACAACAACAAGACUUUUUUUCAACUCUCUCCCCCAGCUAACUCUCCAAAAAAAAGAUCCCUUUUCCCAGUUCUAGAAUUUAAUCCCAACCUCCCAAUCAGAUGAGCAUAUUUUCCAGGGGUCAGAUGAAGAUAUCUCUCCAUCUCCCAAAAUGUCAUUCACACAUUCCCUUGUAACCCUGACCUUGAAGCAAUGCUUUCUCCUUUGCAAACUAGAGAGUCAUAUUUACAAUAAACUUAGACUGUUUCCUAAUUAUUAGUGAUGGAGAUUUUUUUAAGAUGGAUGCCUCUAAAAGGCAUGUUCUAUCCUUUAUGAUGCCUCAUGCCCUUUCAAUAAUGAGAUUCCCUCUGUGAGUUUUACGCUUCACACACAAUGUAAUGUGAAUGUUGAGCAAUGAGGAUGAUUCAAUGCCAAAAGAAGCAUUGCCGACUGCGUGACGCUUCUCACUCUCUGCCCUUCUCAGGUGGCAGGCGUACUCCCUUUCCGAAGGACGUCAUCCAUUGUUCCAUUCUUAAAUCUAAUUAUUCCCAUAUCCUGCAUGUUUAUCCCUGUCCUUUCUAGAUUAAGAGCCUUUUAAUUGCCCAAUCAAAGAAAAGAACAAUUCUUACUCAAACUAAUCCCAGAAAAAAAACCAUGAUAAUCUUUCUUUUAUGAUAACCUAUUUGUGAUAACCUGAAGUGGAAUAGGAAUCAUGCACAAAUCAGAUGUAUUUGGCUGCAAGCCCCAGCAGCCUUGGGCCUAUCUGCACUGACCAUUUUAUGAAAUUUGAAGCUAGCUUCAAACUGCAGUGGCCAGACAACGAACUCCCAUAAAAGUGCACCAAUGAAAGAAAGCCCUUUAUGUGUGUCUAUUAGGCUUGAGCGAUCCAUGAAAAAAUUGAUUCUAAACUCGCUUCAAAAGUAGGGGGCGCUAGCGUUUCGUUUCUGAUGUCAUUUCCGAAUUUUGCCCCUCAAAAAUUUCAAAAUUUAACGAAAAUUCGCUAAUUUCAAAAGUAAUUCGUUAAUGGCGGAUGCGCAUGCGCAGUGGCAAAAAAAAACACGGGGGGGGGGGAGACUUUACAGGUCUCUCCCGCCCUCAUUUUUUGAGCUAUCUUCUUCAAACUUGGUACAGUGGUAGAACACAUUUAACACUGAUAGCUCACCAAAACAUUUCCCUUAUCCUCUGAUUUUUGGUGAAUUUUUAUAGCUUUUAUAAUAAACCAUUUUAUAAUAAUUGCAGAAA